GAACCUGCGGAAGGAUCAUUAAAGAGUCGGGGUCCAUCAGGGCCCAAACUCCCACCCUUUGUUGUCGCGAAUUUGUUGCCUCGGCGGGUUGCUGGGUUGCUCCAUCCGUGGGGUAUUACCGGCGACGGGCUUCGGCCCACCCGCCGCAGGACAUUUCAAACACUGCUUUAAACAAUGAAGUCUGAGUUAUUUGAUAAAUAAAUCAAAACUUUCAACAACGGAUCUCUUGGUUCUGGCAUCGAUGAAGAACGCAGCGAAAUGCGAUAAGUAAUGUGAAUUGCAGAAUUCAGUGAAUCAUCGAAUCUUUGAACGCACAUUGCGCCCCUUGGUAUUCCGAGGGGCAUGCCUGUUCGAGCGUCAUUUCACCAAUCAAGCAACGCUUGGUAUUGGGCGUCCGGUCCACCUCCUCGGAGGCGGACCCGCCAGAAAUGCAUCGGCGUGGAAACCGACCCCCGGCGUGUUAAGAAUCUCACAAUUCGAACGUCGGGAGCACCGGUGGCCUCCGCCGCAACCUCUUUAAUUUUUUAAAGGUUGACCUCGGAUCAGGUAGGAAUACCCGCUGAACUUAAGCAUAUCAAUAAGCCGGAGGAAA
rnacentral:rRNA from 1 species